ensembl:lncRNA
UCUCAUUUGGCUGUUUUGUUUUGAAGAUGAUUCCAGUAGUGAUGGGUCGGUCGCGAACGAAAUGGCUCUUAGAGCCGGUUCUUUGACGUGAACGACGCGAGUCGGCUCCUCAUUGCGAGCCGUGUUUUUUUUUUUCUUUCUCUCACCCUCUCUCUCUCUUGCACUUUUUUCCGCUUUACUCCACACGCGAGCCUUGUGCUUUACCCUGGGAUGAGGGGGGAGGGGCCGUAGUUACACUCAGCAGCACAGGAACAGAACAGGAGGGAGAGACAGAGAAAGAGCGCCAGGGACAACAACUUCACAUUAGAAAGAAAAAUGCCACGUGGGCUAUCUGAUGUGUGGAGACAUUUUACACCAGCUAAUGUACAAGGGAAAUCUGUAUAUAUGUGUAAGUAUUGUGAUAAGACGUACGUGAAGAAUGCCACAAAAAUGCAACAGCACAUUGCAAAGUGCAAAAAAAUUCCUCAAGGCCCAACACAUGCAGCAGCCAGGAGUUCCACUCAAGGGGAAAAUGAAUCUGUUUCAGCUGUAUCAGAGUCAGAUACCCACUCAUCAGCUCCUGGUCCCUCUGGCAUCAGAGGAUUCUUUGAUUUUAUGGAUGACACUAGCCAGAAAAACGCAGAUGAGUGUUUUGCUCGUGCAAUCUAUGCAACUGGCUCACCCCUGAUGCUGACAUCCAAUGUGUACUGGAAGAGAUUUUUGAAUGUUCUCCGACCAGCAUACAUUCCCCCAACCAGACAUGCAUUGUCUACUCAUCUACUGGAUGAAGAGUUCAGUCGAGUUCAAGCAAAGGUGAAACAGACCAUUGACCAAGCUGACUGUAUUUCAGUCAUCUCUGAUGGAUGGUCCAAUAUCAGGGGACAAGGAAUUAUUAACUACAUAAUCACCACUCCUCAGCCUGUGUUCUACAAGAGUGUAGACACAAAGGAAAACAGACACACAGGCCAAUAUAUUGCAGAUGAGCUCAAAGUGAUCAUCAAUGACCUUGGACCAGAUAAGGUUUUUGCACUGGUCACUGACAACGCAGCCAACAUGAAGGUUGCCUGGGCACAUGUGGAGGAGACCUACCCUCAUAUAACUGCUAUUGGCUGUGCUGCCCAUACACUAAAUCUUCUCCUAAAAGACAUAAUGGCACUAAAAACAAUGGACACUCUGAAUAAGAGAGCGAAGCAAGUUCUGAAAU